rfam:Ciona savignyi cont_24933, whole genome shotgun sequence.
GUCAGGGUGGCCGAGUGGUCUAAGGCGCCAGACUCAAGAACCGAGGUUCUUCGCCGACAUGAGGUGUUGAGUAUUCUGGUCUCCGAAUGGAGGCGUGGGUUCGAAUCCCACUUCUGACA